GGGAGUGUUUGUGCCUGGUGAGAGCCCAGGCAUAUAGCUACAUCUCAUGACAAGGUGGGCUGAGAAAUAAAGUUUAACUGCAUGGAAAAAAAGAGGAUAUUGACUUGCCAAGACCCUAAAUAAUAGACUAUAACAUAGACAUUAGCUCCAUCCUCUGGCUCUGGUGAAAAAUGAUAUAUUCUUGGGAGCGAUUGUGGUACAUAUCCAGCCCCAUACUUGGAAUGGGUAAGGACACAAGGACCCAGAACCCAGCAUGAGAGGCUGUAGGUGAAAUCAAGAAGUACUUACUGAAUGACCAUCAAGUGCGAGGCACUGUUCUCAGGUGAUCAAGUUUGACUUCUUGCAACAAAAUUGAAGCAGCAAUGGAAAAGCAGAAACAGACUGCAUUUCACUCAUCUGGCCCCAAAUAAACAUCAAGCAAACACCAGAAGGUAACUGUAGGAAUUUUCUGAAAGUAAUAAGAAGAGGAAGCCUGAGUCUGUGCUGAAGUGUUCAGGGAGCAGAGAUGUAUUGAGACGUGAUGAAAGAAGAGGGAGGCGUAGAGAAUAUGAG